AAGAAACUGCACCCUGGGCUCACCUGCGGCUGCAGGCCAGUCAGGAAGCUGGUUGUCCACUGACAGGUAGAGACCAUCACUGUGAGCGGGAUGAGCUUCUGGUUGAGGAUAUCUGUGCUGAUGGUGUUGAAAGCUGAAGUCCACAAACAGGAUCCCGGUGUACGUCCCUGCGUGGUCGUGAUGGAGCAGUGUAAACUCAAGUUGACAUCGUCAUCUGCCAACCUGUUUGCUCGUAUGCUGAGAAAAUGCUGGCAGACGAGUCACCUGCAGUGGAGGCCUACAGAAUGGAGGCGGCAAUGACUCUGCUCAGAAAAACUGUUUCGGAAAUCUCUCCCUCUGCUGAACUCUGCCGUUGUUUGAGUUGCUGUCUCCAUAUCUCUGUUUAUUUUCAAAUGCCCAGUUAAUAGUUACUGAAAAGUUAGAGUCCAGCUUGCAUCCAAACUCAGAGAAGUGAAGAUACAUUGACGUCUUUUUAUUCUUCUUCUGGUGUUUAAUGGCGGUUGGCAUGAAUCUGUAGGUGUGCAUUACCGCCACCACUGGUAUGGUGUGUGGUUCAACAUGGAUUAAUAUCUUAUAUACUCAAAUUCUAUUAAAUAAUUUUGUUCUUUUUAGGAAUCUUAAAAUAAUUUCUAUAUAUUUGCUCCCUCUGUUCUUUUGUAAUGAAUCUAUUAUGCUAAACCUUUCUUUAAUCCUUUCAAGUUCUCUCUUUGUGCUUCUUCUUUCCAGCUCAUAUUUCUGACACUCUAUAAAAAUAUGUUCAAUUGUUUCAUCCAUCCCAAAGUAGUCACAUUGUCCUGUAUUAUGUUUAUGUAUUUUAAAAAGUGUAUAAUUAAGUCCUGUAUGUCCUAAUCUUAGUUUUGUUAUUACCCUUUCCUCCUUUCUAUUCCUUCUUCCAGUUCUUUUUUCACCGACUGCCUUUUUGAUCCUAUAAAACCAUCUUCCUUUUCUUUCUCCAUCCCACCUUUUCUGCCAUUCUUCCUUCAAUUUCUGUUUGAUGAUGCUUUUUGCUUCUGAUUUACUUAAAUGUACUGUAAAAUUUAUAUGAUUUUGCGUUACCUUCUUAGGCAUCUUAUCUGCCAUCUCAUCUCCUUUAACCCCAAUAUGUGCUGGAACCCAUAAGAAUACUAUUGAUAACCCAUCAUUUGCAGUCUGAAUAAAGUUUGCUGUAUUUCUAGUAGAAUGUCUGGCCUGCUGUCUGAAUGGUUAUAUUUUAAACUCAAUAAUACUGAACUUGAAUCUGAACAAAUUAUUGUUUUUAAUGGUCUUAUGUCUUCCACCCACUGUACUGCUAAAAGUAUUGCUAAUAUUUCUCCUGUGUAUACUGAUAAACCAUUUGUGAUUUGUUUUCCUACUCUUAUUUGAAAUUCUGGUACUAUAAAUGCUAUUCCUAUUUUAUCAUUUGUUUUCAAUGCAUCUGUAUAAAUCUGAAGGUAUUGGUAAUAAUUAUUAACAUAUUUCUGUACUGUAUUUUAAUCUCAUAUACAUGUUCUUUUUGUUUUUUUCCAUUAAAGACAUAUCUACCUGUGCUUCUGGUAAAAUCCAGGGUGGUGCAACAGCUA